UCCUACGGGAGGCAGCAGUGGGGAAUUUUCCGCAAUGGGCGAAAGCCUGACGGAGCAAUACCGCGUGAGGGAAGACUGCCUAUGGGUUGUAAACCUCUUUUUUCAGGGAGGAACAAAAUGACGUGUACCUGAAGAAUAAGCAUCGGCUAACUCCGUGCCAGCAGCCGCGGUAAGACGGAGGAUGCAAGUGUUAUCCGGAAUCACUGGGCGUAAAGCGUCUGUAGGUGGUUUAAUAAGUCAACUGUUAAAUCUUGUUGCUCAACUUCAAAAUCGCAGUCGAAACUAUUAGACUAGAGUAUAGUAGAGGUAAAGGGAAUUUCCAGUGGAGCGGUGAAAUGCGUAGAUAUUGGAAAGAACACCGAUGGCGAAAGCACUUUACUGGGCUAUUACUAACACUCAGAGACGAAAGCUAGGGUAGCAAAUGGGAUUAGAUACCCCAGUAGUCCUAGCCGUAAACUAUGGAUACUAGAUGUUGAACAGAUCGACCUGUGCAGUAUCAAAGCUAACGCGUUAAGUAUCCCGCCUGGGAAGUAUGCUCGCAAGAGUGAAACUCA
rnacentral:rRNA from 1 species